GACGAACGCUGGCGGCGUGCUUAACACAUGCAAGUCGAACGGAAAGGCCCUGCUUGCAGGGUACUCGAGUGGCGAACGGGUGAGUAACACGUGGGUGAUCUGCCCUGCACUUCGGGAUAAGCCUGGGAAACUGGGUCUAAUACCGGAUAGGAGCCAUUUUUAGUGUGAUGGUUGGAAAGUUUUUUCGGUGUAGGAUGAGCUCGCGGCCUAUCAGCUUGUUGGUGGGGUAAUGGCCUACCAAGGCGGCGACGGGUAGCCGGCCUGAGAGGGUGGACGGCCACAUUGGGACUGAGAUACGGCCCAGACUCCUACGGGAGGCAGCAGGGGGGAAUAUUGCACAAUGGGCGCAAGCCUGAUGCAGCGACGCCGCGGGGGGGAGGACGGCCUUCGGGUUGUAAACUCCUUUCGCUAGGGACGAAGCUUUUUGUGACGGUACCUAGAGAAGAAGCACCGGCUAACUACGUG
rnacentral:rRNA from 1 species